rnacentral:rRNA from 1 species
GUGAGGAAUAUUGGACAAUGGGCGCAAGCCUGAUCCAGCCAUGCCGCGUGCAGGAAGACGCAUCUAUGGUGUGUAAACUGCUUUUGUACGGGAAGAAACACUCCCUCGUGAGGGAGCUUGACGGUACCGUAAGAAUAAGGAUCGGCUAACUCCGUGCCAGCAGCCGUGGUAAUACGGAGGAUCCAAGCGUUAUCCGGAAUCAUUGGGUUGAAAGGGUCCGUAGGCGGUUUAAUAAGUCAGUGGUGAAAACCCAUCUCUCAACGAUGGAACGGCCAUUGAUACUGUUAGACUUGAAUUACAAGGAAGUAACUAGAAUAUGUAGUGUAGCGGUGAAAUGCUUAGAUAUUACAUGGAAUACCAAUUGCGAAGGCAGGUUACUACUUGUGGAUUGACGCUGAUGGACGAAAGCGUGGGGAGCGAACAGGAUUAGAAACCCUAGUAGUCC